UGCCAGCCGCCGCGGUAAUACGGAGGGGGUUAGCGUUGCUCGGAAUUACUGGGCGUAAAGCGCACGUAGGCGGACUGGAAAGUAUGGGGUGAAAUCCCAGGGCUCAACCCUGGAACUGCCUCAUAAACUAUCAGUCUAGAGUUCGAGAGAGGUGAGUGGAAUUCCGAGUGUAGAGGUGAAAUUCGUAGAUAUUCGGAGGAACACCAGUGGCGAAGGCGGCUUUCUGGACCAAUACUGACGCUGAGAUGCGAAAGCGUGGGGAGCGAACAGGAUUAGAUA
rnacentral:rRNA from 1 species